GUUUCAGGUUAUGAAAUCUCAUAACAACAUCAUCAAGUAAUCUACUCCUUCAUAUCCUCCAAAAGGAGAAAAUCGCAACUAAAAAUCGCAUCAAAAUCGCCCGUGUAAACGGGCCUUUAGAAAGUUGUUUUUCUCGAUUUCUACUUGGAAUAUAAACAUAAUAACGUAAUGACUCUUUCACAAGACUUAGAAUUAAAAAUAGUUUCUGUUUAGCAUUAAUUUCUUCAGGAAAUGGCUGAGGAAUUUGGUAAAACGGAAUGUAAAACUAUAAUCGUUCGAAAUAAACUUUUAAUAACACUUUUUACUUUACAAGUUUCGAAAACACAAUACAGCGGUCAGAACACCAUACAGCACAAUGAAAACAUGACAUAUCAAAAGAAAUAGUACGUAUCGUACAAAUUGGGAAAUUUAUAGGAUACAAAACUGUUUUAAAAAGAAUAAUACGGCUUUUCCCAACAGUCGGGAUAGUUUUUGCCAAUUGUUUGAAGCGAAUGCUUCGGAGUUUUAAAUAAGUUUUAAAUUGUCCGUGAAUAUGUUUAACACAGUAAAAUAAUAAUUAAAGAAAUCCCACCUUUCAAGUUAAAUACAACAUUUUGUGCUUUUUUCGUUUUCUGCGACGAUUUUUUCAAUAUUUUGUCGAUUUUGAAACCAAAUUUGCCGAAUCAUUCGUUUUGAAAAGCAUUAUUUACUAGCUGCUAGUAAAUAAUGCCUCAGAUUUACUAGUCAACUAACCAAUCAGAACGCGCGAAAGCUCAUUUGAUAUGCAAAAUUUAUACUAAAACCCAUGAGCACAAGUGCUAGACUUAGAGCCUAAUUCACAGCACUCAAAUUUUUAUUUAUAAAAUAAAAUAUUUUAAUUAUUGGAAGAAAAAUAGUUGUAAUUAAAAUAUACAAUUAUAUAUAUAUAAUAUAUGUACUGUAUUCUCUUUCAGUUUCCCAGAUGCCAGGAAUAACCCUGAGAUAUAUGCAAAAUGAAUGGAAAAUGUGAACAAGAACGCUCCUAUUAUGUUUGUCCCCACGAAACGAAGUCGCCUUUGUUCGCAACAUUUUAGCUUCAUAUGGAUAUGGUGAAGGAGGGAUAAAGAACCUGCAGUUAUACUGAAGCCAAACGCGAUCCCAACAAUAUUUCAGUAUUCUCAGGUGU